rnacentral:rRNA from 1 species
UACGACCAGGGCUACACACGUGCUACAAUGGCGCAUACAAAGAGAAGCGACCUCGCGAGAGCAAGCGGACCUCAUAAAGUGCGUCGUAGUCCGGAUUGGAGUCUGCAACUCGACUCCAUGAAGUCGGAAUCGCUAGUAAUCGUGGAUCAGAAUGCCACGGUGAAUACGUUCCCGGGCCUUGUACACACCGCCCGUCACACCAUGGGAGUGGGUUGCAAAAGAAGUAGGUAGCUUAACCUUCGGGAGGGCGCUUACCACUUUGUGAUUCAUGACUGGGGUGAAGUCGUAACAAGGUAACCGUAGGGGAACCUGCGGUUGGAUCAC